UACGUAGGGUGCAAGCGUUGGCCGGAAUUAUUGGGCGUAAAGAGCUCGUAGGCGGUUUGUCGCGUCUGCUGUGAAAUCCCGAGGCUCAACCUCGGGUCUGCAGUGGGUACGGGCAAACUAGAGUGUGGUAGGGGAGAUUGGAACUCCUGGUGUAGCGGUGGAAUGCGCAGAUAUCAGGAAGAACACCGAUGGCGAAGGCAGAUCUCUGGGCCAUUACUGACGCUGAGGAGCGAAAGCGUGGGGAGCGAACAGG
rnacentral:rRNA from 1 species